rnacentral:rRNA from 1 species
UAAGGAAUAUUGGUCAAUGGACGCAAGUCUGAACCAGCCAUGCCGCGUGGAGGAUGAAGGUCCUCUGGAUUGUAAACUUCUUUUAUCUGGGACGAAACACUUCUUUUCUAAGAGGCCUGACGGUACCAGAUGAAUAAGCACCGGCUAACUCCGUGCCAGCAGCCGCGGUAAUACGGAGGGUGCAAGCGUUAUCCGGAUUCACUGGGUUUAAAGGGUGAGUAGGUGGGUAUGUAAGUCAGUGGUGAAAUCCCCGAGCUUAACUUGGGAACUGCCAUUGAUACUAUAUAUCUUGAAUACCGUAGAGGUAAGCGGAAUAUGUCAUGUAGCGGUGAAAUGCUUAGAUAUGACAUGGAACACCAAUUGCGAAGGCAGCUUACUAUGCGGUGAUUGACACUGAGGCACGAAAGCGUGGGUAGCAAACA